rnacentral:lncRNA from 10 species
UUUCGGCGGAACAGGUUCCUGCUAUUUUAUCCAGGGCUGAUUUACCUGAUGACUCAUUUCGGUUUCGGGUGAACAGGCGCUGCUAUUUUAUCAAGGUCUGAUUUACCUGACAACUCAUUUUGGUUUUGGGUGAACAGGUUCCUGCUGUUUUAUCAAGGGCUGAUUUACCUGACGACUCAUUUCAGUUUUGGGUGAACAGGUUCCUGCUAUUUUAUCGAGGGCUGAUUUACCUGACGACUCAUCUCACUCUUGCUGCUUCCAGGACUCCCAGUUUCCCUUUGAUUGUUUGACUACAGUGUGUGCAGAUGGGAGUUCCCCUGCACAAGCUCUCUUACCUACCACCAUGUGAGAUGUGACUUUGCUCCUCCAUCGCCUUCCACCAUGACCAUGAGGCUUCCGCAGCCAUGUGAAACUGAUUUUGAAUAUAUCAUCCAGCUCCUUCCUGGCCUAUAAAGUUUCUGGAAAAAGAAAAUCCAUGGAUAUCUUACACGGCUGUACAGGAAGGAGAGUGGUAUCUGCUUCUGGGGAGGCCUCAGGAAGUUUCCAGUCAUGGUGGAAGGUGAAGGGGGAGCAGGUGCCUCACAUGGCAAAAGAGGAACAAGAAAGAGGGGGAGACACCACACUCAAUGACCAAAUCUCAGGAGGGAGAUGCCACACUCAACUGAACACAUCUCAGGACGGAGACGCCACACUCAACAACUUACAUCCCAGGAGGGAGACGCCACACUUUCCACUGACCAGAUCUCAGGAGGGAGACACCAUACUCAAUGACCAGAUCUCAGGAGGGAGACGCCACACUCAACGACCAGAUCUCAGGAGGGAGACGCCACACUCAACGACCAGAUCUCAGGAGGGAGACGCCACACUUUCCACUGACCAGAUCUCAGGAGGGAGACGCCACACUUUCAACUGACCAGAUCUCAGGAGGGAGACGCCACACUUUCCACUGACCAGAUCUCAGGAGGGAGACGCCACACUUUCAACUGACCAGAUCUCAGAAGGGAGACGCCACACUCAACGACCAGAUCUCAGGAGGGAGACGCCACACUCAACUGACCAGACCUCAGGAGGGAGACGCCACACUCAACUGACCAGAUCUCAGGAGGGAGACGCCACACUCAACUGACCAGAUCUCAGGAGGGAGACGCCACACUCAACUGACCAGACCUCAGGAGGGAGACGCCACACUCAACUGACCAGACCUCAGGAGGGAGACGCCACACUCAACUGACCAGAUCUCAGGAGGGAGACGCCACACUCAAUGACCAGAUCUCAGGACGGAGACGCCACACUUUCAACUGACCAGAUCUCAGGAGGGAGAUGCCACACUCAACUGACCAGACCUCAGGAGGGAGACGCCACACUCAACGACUAGAUCUCAGGAGGGAGACGCCGCACUCAACAACCAGAUCUCAGGAGGGAGACACCACAUUCAUCACCGUCUAAUAAUUUUGCUAAAAUUCUCAUUUUUUCUACAUACUAUUCUUUUCAGUAAAGUUAAUUCAUUAUGUGUAUAAUUACUAAGCUAAUAUCUUUAAUUUUUUAAGACUUUACACAAAUAAACUCAUAAGUAAGGAGCCCUCCUUUGUCAGCUCACACAGGCUGGUGAUGGUUUAGGCAGUCACUCACCAUCAUCCUAUCCAAUCUGCUGCUAACCCAGAAGUUCCAACUGUGCUGAUUUUGCCCCCAGGAAACAUUUGGUGACGUCUGGAGACAUUUUUUUAUUGUCACAACUGGAAGGGGGCUGCCACUGGUGCCUGGUGGGUGGAGGCCAGGGAUGCUGCUCAGCACCUGUGAUGCACAGGAUGGCCCCACGCAGAGAACAACCCAGCCCCAAGGUCAGUAGCGCCAAGGCUGGGGGCUGCUCUGCUGGCACGUGGACUCUUAACACUGAAUUGUCAUAGCAAAUGCAUUCUCUCCCCAACUCUCCAGCCCCACACGGCUGGGGCAGACACACCUCCCUCUGCCAUUUUCCUCUCCAGGACACCUCUUCCCACAGGCCUGGGUGCCUUUGAUACUUCCUAAGAGCCAGAGCCUCCCAGUCUCCCAGACUUUGCUCCUGCCCCACAGCCUCUUGGGCAACAUCUGAGCCGCCAGCCCACCAAGAGCAAAGAUCAGCAAUGGCCCAAAGUACAAUGGGGGCCGCUGUCAGGGUGGGGUCCCCUGUGUGCCCAAUGGGACACCUGGCUCAGCUCUGUGAGUCUUGUGGGGAGACAGCCCAGAGGGAGGAAGGUGCUUAGUGUGGCCUGGCCCCCAAGCCCACAUCUGGACCUGGCUGAGGCCAUCCUGCAGGACUUGAUUGAACACUUUCUUCCUGUGUUCCUGCUGUGGGGAGGACCCCUCAGUACCAGGGCCACAGUUGGAAAGGACCACCCCAGGGGAGCUCAUGAGAAUGCUCAAAACUCAAACAACCCAAUAAAGCAUGAGCAAAAAUGUUGAACAGACACUUCAACAGAGUACAUAUACAGAUGGCAAAUAAACACAUGAAAAGGUGUUCAAUAUCAUUAGUCCUUAGGUAAAUGCAAAUUAAAACCACAAGGACACAGCACCAUAUACCUGUUAGAAUGUCAAACGUUAUCAACCGAGUGUUGGAACCUUGUGGAGGAAGCAGAACACUCAGAGAUUACUGGGGAGAUGUAACAUGAUGCAGCCACUCCAGAAAGGUUGGUAGAAUGUUAAACUUGCACGUACCUUACAAUCGUUCCAUUCCUAG